UUUCUUGUUCCUUUUUUGUGUUCUACUUUAAGGUCAACUUAUGUUUUGUUAGCUUGAAAAACUAUGUUAAGGUUUUUGAUCGUGUUCAUCUUUUUUUUUCUUUGUGCAUUAAUGUUUAUCAAUCAUAAGAAUAUCUAGUGGAUAUAUCCAUAAAUUAUUUGUGUUCUAGAUAUGUCGCAAGAGUCCAGCAUUGAUGUUGCAGUAAAAGGAUAUAUGAGUUACGUUACUUGUACUUUGCUUGGCUUGGAAUACAGCUAAUCGUCUUCUAUUAAAAGGCAUCUUCUAGUUCAAAUUCUAUCUAUUGGUUACAGGUCCUGAGGUUUGAGUAACCUUUGAAUCUUGCUGAUCGUUGAAAAAGAGAAGUGGGAUAAAGAUCUUUAAAAACAGAUUGGGUUUCUGCUUUUGUCCAUAAACAAACAAUAAACCAAGCAAAGAAGUUGUAUUAUUGAUAAGAUAAGUGGAUAGUAUAAAUGACUAAACAGAUGAACUUUUCGUGAGAUAUCAAAAUUUGAUUCUUUGUUUUUUUGGUCUUGCAGAUUGAAAUUACGCUUGGGAAGUCAGAGAAGUUUGAUGAGCUAAUGACUGCAGCCAAUGAAGAAAAGGAAGAGCAGCAGAAACUCAGAAACAAGACUCAAUGAUUCCACCUACGUUGAUGAGAACUUGGCGUGCACGAGCAUUGAUCUCCAUGGUGUAGCGGAAGUGGGGAUGCAGAAGCCUAUAGAUAGGAUGCAUGGCACUUAGUUGUCUGUUUGCCGCUAUAAUGUAUAUAUGGCUCUAUACAGCAGUGAGUCCUCAGCCUAUAAAAUAUACGUGUAUUAAUGUCUAUACAGUUCAAACUAAAUACUAUUGUCAACAAAAUAACCAUAUAUAUACAUCUAGUUUGUUCAA